UCAUGUCCUAGUGUUGAUGAUGAACUAAAGUGGGAAAAUGGAAGAUUUUCAACUUUGAGGUUUCUUCAGAAAACAUUUCUUAAUGCCAAUUAGAAGGGAGUUUUAGAGAAGUAUCCAACAUAGAUGAAACAGAGAGAUCUCUCUGCCGGUCUUCUUCCCUCCAAACCAAAUGACGUUCCCCAGGCUCCUCUGGAUCCUCAUCACCAAGUCAUGGAACCUGAGUAGCUGCUUCCUCCUCAGAGAAUGCAUCUCCCUUUUCUACAAAAAGAGC
rnacentral:lncRNA from 1 species